rnacentral:rRNA from 1 species
UACGUAGGGUGCAAGCGUUGUCCGGAAUUAUUGGGCGUAAAGAGCUCGUAGGUGGCCUGUCGCGUCGGCUGUGAAAACUCGGGGCUCAACUCCGAGCUUGCAGUCGAUACGGGCAGGCUAGAGUUCGGCAGGGGAGACUGGAAUUCCUGGUGUAGCGGUGAAAUGCGCAGAUAUCAGGAGGAACACCGGUGGCGAAGGCGGGUCUCUGGGCCGACACUGACGCUGAGGCGCGAAAGCGUGGGGAGCAAACAGG